UUAAAGAACCCAAGUUCAAUAGCUGCUCCUGCCCUGACCCUUCUAGACGAUGUUUGCCGACUCUGGUCAACAAGGAAACAGAAGCCGUGUUUAGACACGUGAGCCCUAAGGCCUGCUGGUUCAGAAGGACGAGUUAGGGCACUAGUGGAUGGCAGAGACCCCCACUAGAGAGACCCUCUUUGAUGUCAUGAGGAUGGAUCACAAAGCUGAUACCCGUCACGUCAGGUGGAUUCAAAGAAUCUUCACCAGAAAUAUUGAACUGGAACGGAGAAUUAAAUUUGCCCAAGUUCAAAUGUGGUUUGCUGUCAUGGGA
rnacentral:lncRNA from 1 species